UCUUCCUACUACUCUACUGCUAAAGAACGAAAUUUAAUGAAGUGCUGCAGGUGAAAUUCUUACCACUGUUGCUAACAAAUUGGUGUCAUAUCCAAAAAUUUGUUACCAAGACUCAUGCCAGGAGCGUUAUUCCAGUGUUUUCUUGUAAGAGUUUCAUGGUCUCAGGUCUUCACAUAGAGACAUUUGGAGUGUUGGAAGAGGAUUGCCACAGCCUCUCAUGACACCACCUUUCAAAGCCUUCCAGCAUGUGUACGUGCACAUUCUGUCAUCCUAGCAGUGACUGGAGGUCUCCAUCACAGUAAUGAAAAACCUUCCCACAGAUCUGAAAGUCAUUAGCACGCCAGUGCUGCUAGUCAUUCUUGCCUCCUCCUUGGGAACCACCUGGAAACUUCCUUGUUUGUGUGGUGUGUGUGUGAAGAGAUGGGAAUACUCAUUCUGAAUGA